AAGAAGUACUUUAUUAAAAAUUUUUUAAAAGUCACUGGUAACAGUUUUAGCACAAUAUGCAUCUCUAUGAGAAUCUGAGAUACAAUGGAUUAUUUGCAACUAUUGGUCUACAUUUCCUAUUUGACAAAAUUAGGCAAUAUUUCUGACAUGGGAAAUGUUUACCAAAAAGAUUCUAACCUCUUUGCAUCUAACCAUGCUGCCAUCUGAAUGGUUAGUGAGACCUCCCCAUCUUCAAGCACUCUCCUCCACAGUAGGUAUCCAGCACCAGGGAGUUACUGGCAGCCAACAUUAUGCUAGUGAUUCAUACCCCAUGUUUCUCAUUAAUGUAAAACUUUCUGUCAAGCGUGCAUGUGCUAAGCGAGCAGACAGGCAGCCACACCAAAGCUCCAAGGAGCCAAAGUGCUGGCUGAUAAGACAGCUUUAGUGGAAAACAAGCCAUGAGCAGCUCCUGAAAGGAAUGUGGAUGUGUCAACAGCAGAUAAAUAAUUGUGGAUGGUAGACAGGUUGACAAUGUUACACGUACAACAGAUCCACGGAGCAGCAGCCAGGGAAGGUGAUUGGCAGUCUCAGAAAAAUAUGCAAGUUGCAAGGACUGAGAAUAGGAAAUUGUGUAAAUGGAGCUGCUACUUUACAAGUGCUGACAGACUCCACAUAAACCAUGCAUGGGUCUGGCUGGUACAGCUCCCACACCCUGUCUCUAAAGCACAGGGCCAGCUAAUGCCUGCCCGACAACCACUCCACUUGGACCUUUUUGCUACUUAGACUGAUAUGAGGGAGAAUGUUUAUGGUGUCAUGGAGCAUUAACAGAAUUAUCACCGCAGAAAAUAGAUCUUCUCUGAUUUUACUGCUGGCAGUGAAGCAAUACGGGGGGGGGGGGGGGGGGGGGGGGGGGGGGCGGGUGUGGCCAGUAAGUUAACCCUUAAAAUGCCAGAGACAGUUGAACACAAAAAUGAGAUGCACAAAAUACAGCGCAUGUUGCAUAUUCAUAAAAGAUUUACUAACGAGUUAAAUAAAGUGAGAACUCAAGGGAUUAAUAACUUUUGACACAUGACGUUGCUAAUUUGGAGACUGAGUCAAUACAUACAUCUUGGCACUAAUCACAGGGCAACUAAUUACUCCAUCCCCAGGUUUUCGGAUGCAUUAAAUCAUUUUGUGAUGAGUUUGAGCCAACUAAAAAUAGGAAGGCCACCAGCUCAAAACCGUUUGAAAUCUGGCCAUCUCUGCCUUUCCCUCACUGCCUGAAAUCACAGAUCGUACCUCAUGCCUUCACUCUGCCAGCAUUCUACUCUGCAGUCUCCAUCUGCAGCUCUCUCCGGAUUACCCAUGCUUCCCGGUUCCUGCUCACAUGACCAUUAUGAAUGAUUAUGAAACAUUAUGAAAGGGCACAAUGUUAGCCCAACUUGUUUCACCCAUUUAGUAAGAUGUUAAUGCUCUGUCUUCCUGCAUCCAGCUUUUCCAGAUAUGACAGCAAGGUUUUGCCAAAUCCCUGGUUUAAAAAACACACACCAUCCAUUCUGUAAACUGCUGAUUUAUGGGGGUGUAAUCUCAUUUAUCCCUACUUCCUCUCUCUCUCUCUCCCUCUGUUCUCUCUCUCUCUCUCUCUCUCUCUCUCUCUGUUCUCACUCUCUCCCUCAUUCCUUCUCUCUCUAGCUCUCUCUCUCUCUCUCUCUCACACACACACACACACACACACACACACACACACACACACACACACACACACACACACACACACAAUGUGCAAGUACAAAGAUGAGAUAACUCAAAAGACAGCUUGUAUCACUCUACAAUGCCAUGGUAAGAUGUGGCAUUUUGUCCAUGCUUCCUACCUAGUGACUUACUUCAGUUAAUCUCCCCAGAAUUAACUAACUGUGCCUCAUAUCACCCUCCUCCUCUCACAGACCCACCUUCACUCAUCCACAACCAGCCCUCACUUAAAACUUUGGUAGUCACCCCAAGGCUGCAAGGAUUUGUAUCACGGUCUACUGGGUUGACACUGUGGGAGCCAGCAUUUGUACCAUGUGACUCUUCUUUCCAGAGAACUUGACAGCAACCAGGCAAAAUCUGCACCAGAUUAUCAGCUUGCGUUGCACAAUGUGCUCCCUCUACAUCUGUGAACUUUAAAGAGUUCAGAGUCCAAUUCUUGAUUUAAAACAAAAACAACAGGAAAAGGAAACUAGUAAUGAGGGUGGAGCAAUGGGCCCUAGGUAGAAGUUCUAACAAAUGACAUGUAUCUCUGUUGUAAGGAAUUAGUGAACAUCUUUAACUUUUAAAAAUUAGCCAUUGCAUUUUGUUUCUUUGCACUCAGUUCAGUUUGAAUGUUUGCAAAUUUCUAUAAACAGGAGACACAUCCCAGUGCCAAAAUUUCAGAAGUGGCUUCAGUUGAUCCAUGAGACAAGGAGUCGGACCGUGAUGCCCUACAGACCACACAGGGUAGUGACCAGCAACUAUCAAGUAGUCAGACCUGAAGUAAAAGCACGCAGAUGGCAGUGGAUUUAACAGGUGUAAACUCCAUUAUUCAUUGAAGGGGUUUGAGGAGGAACAUAAUUAAAAUGGAGUGUAAAACCAGAUGCCUUAUCUAAUUAACUUCAAGAUAGAACUUGUGUGGCCUCAGCGACUUUCCAAGCUGAACAUGAGCGGCAAUGGAGAUGCAAACAUCACGUUGAGAUAUUUUGGGAAUCUACCAUUACUGUAAAUCCUCAGCCGAAAUGCAUUCUUGAGAGCAGUUUAUUGUAAGGGCAAAGGUUUCACCUCCUCUUAAAUAUGAUUAUAAUGAAUUAACAACAA